rfam:Thielavia terrestris NRRL 8126 chromosome 2, complete sequence.
GGCAAGGUGGCCGAGCGGUCCAAGGCGCCAGGUUCAGGCCAACCUGAAUUCCAUCUCAACAGAUAUCCUGGUCUCAGAAAUGGGGCGUGAGUUCGAAUCUCACCCUUGUCA